AAAUUAAAAACAUAAAGUUUGUCAAACAUGGCAGUGCAUGUUUGCAGUCUGUUUAUUGCUUUUGCCAGUGGUAGAUAACAUUUAUAAGGAAUCGGUGAAAGGAAAGAGCGCCUUCUGGAACUGUGAAGCUCUGUGUUGGCAACUCGGUGACUGGCUGGACCUACUGUCCAUCUCCAGAGGGAAGCGGACUGCUGUUUUGAAAUUAAAAAAUAAUAAUAAAAAAUAAAAAAAUAUGGUGCUGCUCUAUGGCGCCCGGAGGACUGCCACUCUGCAUGGCAGUUAAAAAGAAUGUGGUUUGGAGAUGGAGAGCCACAGAGAUGAAGCAGCUGGGAAGAGAGACACAAGUAUUGCAGUAGGUAGGCUGUGGUUAUGAGGUGCCUCAGGAUGUGCUUUUUUUCUUGUUUCCGCCCUUCCCUCGUGCAGCCUUGGAGAGAUGAAGUCCCCAUGGUGUGGAGUGGUGCAAAAAGUCUCUGACAUCCAGCCAAGAUGGACAAAGGAGAAGGACAAGGGAAAAGCCUGGGAGGAAGACUAUGAGCCUUCAGUACGAGAGACCCGCAGAGGGACCACCAGAGACUGAUAACACAUGCGCCAGUGGGCGGGUUCGGAUUCCAGGAACUAGUUAUAAUAACCCUGCCUUUUCUAGAAGUAGUAAUGAAUAUGUAUUAGCCUAGGAGCAUAAAAACCAGCCGCCUGC